AUGAAAAGGGGCAAACCCUUCCCACAAAUCACUCGACAGAUCACACCUAACAGCACAAAAGAGCAAAUCAGAAGGGAAGAAGAAGAAGGGGGAAGAUGGAGGCGGCCAUGGGCGAGGGGGGAGGAGAAGAAGGGAGAGCAAACAGAAAUCAAAAGGGAUUCGGAGAGGAGGAUGUACCUAACGUGGAGCAAGAAGGAAAAACAUCAGAGGGGAUUCAGCAACAUCCACAGGAUUUUCCAUGAUACGCUUUUAGUGGGAGGCAACGUUCCCGUCGACGACGAGAUGCCUACGGUGACUUCCUAA
rnacentral:rRNA from 1 species